UUACUACUCCCUCAUAUCCAUAUUACUUGUCGCAGCUUUGUCUAGAUAAGCAUGUAUCUAGACGCGUUUCAUUGUAUAGGUACAUGCAUAUCUAGACAAAGCACAAGUAAUAUGGAUUGGAGGGAGUAUUUA
rnacentral:pre_miRNA from 1 species